rnacentral:tRNA from 1 species
GCCUAUAUAGUUUAAUAAAAAUUCUAAUUUUGUAAAUUAGGGAUGAGUAUCUGUAGGUA